rnacentral:misc_RNA from 1 species
GUGAGUCAUCGAAUCUUUGAACGCACAUUGCGCCCUCUGGUAUUCCGGGGGGCAUGCCUGUUCGAGCGUCAUUACACCAAUCAAGCCUGGCUUGGUAUUGGGACCCGGGGGUGACCCGGACCCGAAAAACGUCGGCUGGAGGACCCGUAUCUCAGCGUUGUGGAAACAAAUUCGCUGGCGAGAGGGGGAGCCCGGCCGUGAAAACUUCUCUAAGGUUGACCUCGGAUCGGGUAGGGAUACCCGCUGAACUUAAGCAUAUCAAUAAGCGGAGGA